AGUAGGAGGUUAAAUCCUUUAGCGAUGCCACCUUUCUCGCUGCCGGAGGAGCCCUCUUCUUUUGCGUGGCAGAUUUUGGUAGCUCGUGAGUAGUGUCGGGAUUGUUACCUUCUGUGACCUCCACGACCCGCCCCCAGAUGGGUAUGGUAAGUGCCUCUGAUCGCUUUCUACAAACGGGGAUACUGAGGUUGGUGCAGAAUGGGAAGUGAAUGUGUUUAACAAGUGUCUUGGGGUGGUGGUGGUGUCUACGGUUCAAAUAGAGUUAACGAAAAAAAACUCUGCUCAGUUCUGCUUCCCACAUGAGCAAUCUCCGCCUCCAGUCCAACUCACUUCCCUGGGGCCACAUCAAGCCAGGUUUUUCCACCAGCCAAGACCUCCCUGGCCAAGCAAUACUGGAUCUCUUAAACUGGCAACAACCUCUGUCUGUCCACCCCGCCUCUUCACUCCCUUUCUGGGCUGGAGGGUUGGUCACUUUCUUCUCUUUCCCAGGACCCUGCUGUACUCUUCUUGACCUCCAGGCAGAAGACAUCUUUCCCAAGAAGCCUGGAGAAACACUGAAAUUCCUUCUAUUUUAGUUCCUGGGUUGAGAGACUCAGUCACCUUUACAGAGUUGGGGGUGUGACCAAGCCCAGAACCCUGGGGGAAAGAGGGAGGGUCACAUCUUCUCAGUUCUCCCUGGGCCCUCUAUAGCUGAAGGCCCACAAAGUUGGAGAGUAAGUUUUCAUUCUCAUGUACAACCUUCACAAACUUUUAAGUUCACAGCCAUCUAUCUAGAAACCCACACCCUUAGUUAGGGGCCCAACGCCUUACAGAUCAGAAUUCAUCUGGUCCCUGUACCCCUAAAAACAUGCUUCUUCAGAAAAGUGAAAAAAAUAGAGGCACUUGGGUUCAAUAAUUUAAUUUCUAUAUAGUUACAGCAAUGGGGGUAAAUACACAAGAUCUUUUCUAUUAAUUAAUAAAAGAAAGAUGAUGAAAAUCA